GUUAAUGUAGCUUAUUUAAAGCAAAGCACUGAAAAUGCUUAGAUGGAUGCAUGCAUCCCAUAAACA
rnacentral:tRNA from 1 species